AGGAGGCAGCAGUGAGGAAUAUUGGACAAUGGGCGCAAGCCUGAUCCAGCAAUGCCGCGUGAGUGAUGAAGGCCUUAGGGUUGUAAAGCUCUUUCGGCGGGGACGAUGAUGACGGUACCCGCAGAAGAAGCCCCGGCUAACUUCGUGCCAGCAGCCGCGGUAAUACGAAGGGGGCAAGCGUUGUUCGGAAUUACUGGGCGUAAAGGGCGCGCAGGCGGCCAAUCAAGUCAGAUGUGAAAGCCCCGGGCUCAACCUGGGAAUAGCAUUUGGGACUGGUUGGCUAGAGAUCGGGAGAGGAGAGUGGAAUUACCAGUGUAGAGGUGAAAUUCGUAGAUAUUGGGAAGAACACCGGUGGCGAAGGCGGCUCUCUGAACCGAUACUGACGCUGAGGCGCGAAAGCGUGGGGAGCAAACAGGAUUAGAUACCCGCGUA
rnacentral:rRNA from 1 species